GGGUCCGUGGCUCAGUGGUAGAGCGUGACACUGAUAAUGUCAAGGUCGGAGGUUCGAUCCCUCCCGGACCCA
rnacentral:tRNA from 6 species